CCUACGGGAGGCAGCAGUGAGGAAUAUUGGUCAAUGGGCGCAAGCCUGAACCAGCAAAGUCGCGUGAGGGAUGACGGUCCUAUGGAUUGUAAACCUCUUUUGUCGGGGAGCAAGGCCCGCCACGUGUGGCGGGAAGGCGAGUACCCGACGUAACAGCAUCGGCUAACUCCGUGCCAGCAGCCGCGGUAAUACGAAGGAUGCGAGCGUUAUCCGGCUUUAUCGGGGUAAAAGGGUGCGUGGGCGGAAGGUUAGGUCAGCGUUAAAAUGUCGGUGCUCAACACCGUCCUGCCGUUGAAACUGGUCUUCUUGAGUGAGCGAGAAGUAUGCGGAAGGCGUGGUGUAGCGGUGAAAUGCGUAGAGAUCACGCAGAACUCCGAUUGCGAAGGCAGCAUACCGGCGCUCAACUGACGCUGAGGCGCGAAAGCGUGGGGAUCGAACAGGAUUAGAUACCCUUGUAGUC
rnacentral:rRNA from 1 species